CUCGUAGGCGGUUCGUCGCGUCCGGUGUGAAAGUCCAUCGCUUAACGGUGGAUCCGCGCCGGGUACGGGCGGGCUUGAGUGCGGUAGGGGAGACUGGAAUUCCCGGUGUAACGGUGGAAUGUGUAGAUAUCGGGAAGAACACCAAUGGCGAAGGAAGGUCUCUGGGCCGUCACUGACGCUGAGGAGCGAAAGCGUGGGGAGCGAACA
rnacentral:rRNA from 1 species